rnacentral:rRNA from 1 species
UUUAUGGAGAGUUUGAUCCUGGCUCAGGAUGAACGCUGGCGGCGUGCCUAAUACAUGCAAGUCGAGCGAACAGACGAGGAGCUUGCUCCUCUGACGUUAGCGGCGGACGGGUGAGUAACACGUGGAUAACCUACCUAUAAGACUGGGAUAACUUCGGGAAACCGGAGCUAAUACCGGAUAAUAUAUUGAACUGCAUGGUUCAAUAGUGAAAGACGGUUUUGCUGUCACUUAUAGAUGGAUCCGCGCCGCAUUAGCUAGUUGGUAAGGUAACAGCUUACCAAGGCAACGAUGCGUAGCCGACCUGAGAGGGUGAUCGGCCACACUGGAACUGAGACACGGUCCAGACUCCUACGGGAGGCAGCAGUAGGGAAUCUUCCGCAAUGGGCGAAAGCCUGACGGAGCAACGCCGCGUGAGUGAUGAAGGUCUUCGGAUCGUAAAACUCUGUUAUUAGGGAAGAACAAAUGUGGAAGUAACUAUGCACGU